GCAGGAGUCUGAAGUCUGGGUGCUGAAGCUCCUGUGAAGCAUGGGUCUCUGGUUCACUAUCCCAAGGGAAAAUUCAGCUGUGAGUGCAAUGCAAUGGCAAGCCUGGUCCAAAAGUCCCUCCUCUUCUCCCUCUCACUACAUCGGAGGGAUGGCUGGUGCCAGCAGUAACAUCCCAGGAAAGCCACAGCUGGUGCCUCCAUGCACGAGGCAGGCUGCAAGCCCCUCAGCUCUGUGAUCACUGUCAAUAAUGCAUUCACAGGAGAGGAAGGAAGAGCUGGGCAGCCAACAGCACUUUCAGGGCUGCUCAAUGGCACCACUGUCUCUCUGCUCACUGAUGAGGGCUGUGCGUGUGCAGGGGAUCGUAGGCUCCUGGUGAAGAUAUGCCAGUAAGGCUGGCAGGCUGUGUCCUAAGCUCAAGGCGGGCCCAGCCUGGGUUGUCAGGUUUGCUUAGAACAAAGGAAAUCACAUUUCUUCCUGCCUUCCCUUCCUGCCCCGUAUAUAAAUAGCCUCCUCUGUGGCUUAAUGAAGAGGUCCAGAUAGCACACAGCCCCCAGCUGUGCUGCCUGGGGAAGAGUGCAAGGAAAUACUGAGUCUCACAUGGCAGGAGUAGCUCACAGACCUGUUGGAGCUUAUGAAGAGCAGGACUCCUUUAACCACCGUUUCUCAAGCUCCCAGGUUUUUGGAGAUUGAGGUCUGUAUUGUCAUCAACCCUCCACCAAGAUUCUGCCCCUCAUGAAGAUUGGGAAGAGGGACUUCCAUACCAACCAGUUGUGUCUCUUCUCCAGACCCCAGUGUAGACACACCUGGGCAAGGGAUGAAUGCCCUAGAAGAGCUGCCAGCCAGUGACCCUGGAUUCUGAAAUGAAACUCAGCAUCUGCCUGUGCCAUCAUACUCCUGGCUACUGAAAAAAGAAAUAAAAGACAACCAACCAUGUGAGUUUUGAUGUAGUUCUGACCCACUCGUUCACUCUGCAUGCAACAGGCAAGACUGUGCAACAAAGCCUACAAGCUCAGGUUUUCUGUUCAAGUAGAAAUAGAAAUAACUUGAAAAUAUGUGGCAUUCAGCUAGAAACACAAGAAAAAUGCACAGUUCAGGAAGCUAUUAAAAGAGAUGGAAUUCAGUACACCCUGAUUUUUCAAUUCUUGAGGUAUAUUAUACCGGAGUUGCAAGUUCCAAUGUGUAUCAAUAGACCAGCAUUGGUGUAACUUUUAAGUCUAUAGUCUAUUUAGAAACCACCUGUUAAAAGUUAAC